rnacentral:lncRNA from 1 species
UUACAUUGAUUGAAAAUUUAAUCGUCUCUUUUUUUUAUAUAUAUAUGUAGCUUGCAUUCAUAGUAAGUCAUGCAGCAAUAUCUUCAGAAGUUUAUUGGAAAGUAAAAUUGCCCAACACGCAGAUGCCUAAAGUGAUCAAAGAUUUUCUUCCCCACACAGGUUUUUCUUCAACUCCACGCAUUUUGUUUUAACAUUACGAAUCUGUUUAAUUUUAUUUAUAUCACAUAAAGUGACUUCUCUAAAAAGUACAUUGCUAUGUAAGCCAAUUUGACCUUCUACUCAUGAGAGCUUAAUUUGUAGAUCAUAACUUCAACAGUAAUCAGAAAGUAUACCGCGGUAACAUCGAUUCUGGACUGGUGCCUUGGCAUCAUGAUGCUACGGAGGAAGAGAUUCGUGAAUUGAAAGACGAUCAAAAAGUAUACCGCGGUAACAUUGAUUCUGGACUGGUCCCUUGGCAUCAUGCUACUACAGAGCAAGAGAUUCAUGAACUGAAAGACAAUGACAAUAAUUUUCUUUACAGACCUUACUUCUUCGAAAAUGACUUGAAGAAAGGAAAUAUCAUCAAUUUUCCCUCUUUGAAACAUAAAAAGAGGAAGAGAUUCAUGAAUUGAAAGUAUAUCGCGGUAACAUUGAUUCUGGACUGGUCCCUUGGCAUCAUGCUACUACAGAGCAAGAGAUUCAUGAACUGAAAGACAAUGACAAUAAUUUUCUUUACAGACCUUACUUCUUCGAAAAUGACUUGAAGAAAGGAAAUAUCAUCAAUUUUCCCUCUUUGAAACAUAAAAAUGAUGCACCAUUUUUGCCUCGCCAAUCAACCAUUCCCUUCUCAUCGGAAAAAAUCCCUGAAAUUCUAAAUUAUUUCUCAAUCGAUAGUAAGUCAAAGGAUGCUCAAAUAAUCAAGGAAACAAUCAAUUUAUGUGAAGAGCCAGAUCUCCAUAAAGAGAAGAAAUUUUGUGCAACCUCGUUGGAGUCGAUGGUAGAUUUCAUGUUAUCCGAGCUAGGAACAAACAAUAUCCAAGCAAUUACAACAGAGGUAGAAGGGGAAAGUAGUCAAAAAUUUCAGAAAUACACUAUGGAAAAAGUUGAACAGAUAGCGGAUGGAAAUAACAUGGUAUGCCACAAAGUUAACUACGCGUACGCUGUGCAUUAUUGUCAUGUUGGAGGAAGAACGAAGACAUUCAUGGUAUCUAUGAUAGGUGUUGAUGGAACAAAAGUUAAAGCACUAUCAGUAUGCCACCAAGAUACAUCUUUUUGGACCCCAAAGGGAUUACCUUUUGUAAUGCUCAAUGUUAAGCCUGGAACUACCCCUAUUUGUCAUUUCCUUCCAAGUGAUGAAAUUGUUAUUUUCCCUUCUAAAGAGGCCAUUAAUUAGGCUAUCUCAUAUUUAAACUUAAUAUGUUGUGUGAUUACAGAAUCAUGCUAGCUAUUAUUUGUAUUAUGUCAUUAUGAUUAUGAAAAUGAUUCUGGUUUCAUGAUUUA